rnacentral:lncRNA from 1 species
AAAUAGAUGGAGAGGCAACCAUCAGGUCUUCUUCCCCCUUGCUUCUUCUGUCCACCUCUCCCAUUGCCUUCCUCUACUUUUUCUCUUCAUUUUAUUGCAUUCAUCUUCAAAUCUUUCAAAAAGGCAACAUUCCAACUUUGUGUUUUCGUUGAAAUCAUGUUGGAAAUCACCACCUAAACUCAUUUCCUCCUUUUAAUCCUUUCAUUUUAGCUUAGGGUUUAGGUAAUUUUAGUGAGAGAAGAUGAAUCUUCAGAGAUAGAGCUUCAUCAAGGUAAGAAAUGGUGAUUUCCAUCUUUCCUAGCUUGUUAUUUGAUUUUGAAUGUUAAGUAAAAGUUUGGAAAUUUUGGAUUUUAAUUUUUGAUAUAUUCUUGUUCCAUGGAAAAAUGAAGAAUGAUGAGAAAUAGGGUUUUCAAUCUAAUUGAGGAUGGAAUUAAGUUUAUGGAGGAUUGAUUAUGUGUUAUAGAGCAUCCAAAGGUAAGUACAUUGGAUACUUAUACUUCUCUUAUGCUUUGGAGUUGGAUUAGGAUAAUAAAAUUUUAGAAAUGUGUUUGGUUAUGUAGUAAAAUAUGUGGACUUCAUAACUUAAAAGGUAUGAAAUAAGUCAUUAAUGUGUUAUAGUGAAAAUGAUUAACAAAGGAAUGUUAUAAAUUGAUUAUGUGAUAUGGAAAUUUUUGUUACUUUAAAGGUACUAAUGAGUAUGUUUGGGUGUGUGGAAACACAAAUGAAAAUAUAGAGAAAUGUCAUUAUGGCAAAAAAUGAGAUUAAUCUGUUAAUUUUUACAAAUUGGCUAUAAACUCGAAAUUAGGGUAAAACAUGGAAAUGACUAUAUGUAAGUUAGUGAAAUCAUGAUCCCCCACCAAUAGAUACCAAUAAAUAGAAAUGAACAUUUUAUAAGGCAUAGUCAAGGUCAUGAAUUUUUGUUAUAAUAUAGUUUGGAAAUAAAAAGGUGUUAAUGACUCUUCUCGAUUUGACUAUAAAAAUGCUAGUAAAUGAAUCUAAUGGUAUAUGACAAAAGAUAUGUGUGAAUAUAUGAAGAUGUAUAUGCGUGGGUAUGACCGUGUAACACCCCAAUACCCAAUGGUCGACUAAGGCAUUACAUAGAAAACAAACUUAAACUUAGUUCCAAAGCAUUACAAUUGAACUAGGAGUUAACUCGAAAAAUAAAUUUCAAAAAAACAAGUAACCAAACUGAUAUAUGCCGUAAUUUAUACACAAAUGAGUUGAAAAUUGUUAAAGUAUGCCCAAAAACCAAUUAUGAGAUGAUUGUAAUAACAUACUUGUUUUACCUCGUUUAUUAAUAUAAAGCAUUACCAUUAUUAUUUUAGUUUUUUUUCCGUGUAUAUAAAUAAACUGUUUUAUAAUAAUAUCCUAAUAAUAAUAUGAUUAUUCUUAAAAGGUCUUUAGUCGAGUAUUAUUGAGGGCUUGGACAAUAGUAAUGCAUUAAGAGAAACAUGUACUUGACUGAUGACAAAGUGUUGUCAUUGACAUAGGGAUGUGUAACGCGUAGGUUUGUGCAAGUGUACACAGUCAUUAUCAAGUAAUAAGUAAGUAUCAAGUUAUCGUCUCCAUAGGGAUUGUAUUUGUGCUAAGUGUAACACCCCUAACCUGUAUUCGACACCGGAAUAGGGUACGAGGCAUUACCAGAACACAUACACUUAUAAACAUGUUAAACCGAGUUAUAAAAUUUCAUUCAAAUUUAAACUCUUCAAAUUUUUAACAUGCUUUUAUAAAUCUUCACGUUAUAACUUCAAAAUACUAUAUUUGUAACAAAUAGGGCUUCUGAGGCCCAAUACAUACUCAUGCAAUUCAAUACUUCAUUUUCAUUUCAUUUAAUUCACGAUUCUCAUGUUCACGAUUCAAUUCAAUUUCUCAAUCCAAUAUACAUUUCAAUACCACAAUAAUUUAUUUAAUUCAAAUCAUAUCAUUUGCAAUUUCCAUUUAAUUCAUGUACAGUUCAAUUUCAUUAAGUUCAAUACUAAUACACAUUUAUCGUUUAACUUAACGUCCUCUUUUUGUGUCAUUUUACACUUGAAGCAUGAACUUAGUAUUUCAUUUCCUUUCCACUCAUGUUUCCUAUGCAUAUCACACAAGAUAUAAACAUUACACUCAACCAUAGUCGCAAGCUAGUUCUUUUUGAAGACUAACCACAUGAUAAACCAUUUUAAUAAAGAUUACAAGCUUUAAACCUUACCACCCUUUUAUGAUCACAAUCAUAUUUCCAUCUAGGCAUUUACCAUCUCAAUGCAUAAUUUUAUAAAUUUAAUGUGGCGUAAUCCAGCCACAACUUGGCCAAAGCCUAAGCAUACCCACCAAACAUGCUAGCCAAAUAAACAUAUAGUAUAAGCAUUAUAAGCAUGGAUAAGCACCACAUUUAUUUAUGUAUCAAACUUAUCAACAUGAGUUAAUUCAUAUACCAUUUAUGACAUUUCUACAUAGCAAAUCAUAUACCAAGUAUACCAUAUACACAUACUGUGAAACUUUAUUUUCUCACAUGAACUUUAACCAUAACUAAUAAUGCACAAUUAUAAAUAUCAUUUCUUUUCAAUCGUUUAUCGAUUAUAAUGGAGCAUAUGGCCAAUUAUACACAAAUAAUUCAUAUGUUCUUCCAAUUUUCCUCCUCCUCCUCUCCAUUCCACAUCCUUAAUGUACAUAACACUCUUAGAAAUAACAUUUUCUAUAGUUUCACUAUUCACUUACAUGUAUACUUAAAACUGUCUCUCUGAGUCAGAGUCACUAAAUUAUUUUUACCCGGAGAUACAGAGCUCCAAAUUAAGAACCAUUAAUUUUACCAGAAACUAGAUUCACAUAUCUUCUCACCAUAAAAUUUUUAGAAUUUUUGGUUUAGCCAAAUUGUACAGUUUAUUCUUUAAAGUUUCCCCUAUUUCACUGCUUGACAGUUCUGACCUUUCUUUACUAAAAAUUAAUUAUCUCAUUGUACAGAAUUCUGAUAUUGUUUUUGUUUGUUUCUCUUGAAAAUAGAUUCACUGAGGAUUCUAAACAUAUAAACUGUAUCCUAUAAUUAUUUCUUCACAAUUUUUGAAAAUUUUCCAAAGUUAGAACAGGGGAUUCUGAACUCAUUCUGACUCUGUCUAAACUUCAAAUAUCUCAAAAUAUAUAACUCUUUUGCUUGGUCUAUUUCUUCUAUGUGAAAAUAGACUCAUUCAGCUUAAAUUUCAUAUAUUAUUCAGUCUCUAAUUCAAUCUCUAGCAUUUUUGGUGAUUUUUCAAAGUCACACAACUGUUGCUGUCUAAACUGUUUUAUUGCUAAAUGGACUCUUUCAUAAUUUCAUUUUUUCACUUUCAAUCAUAAUUCAAUUCAAAAUUCACUUUUCUAUUUCUAAGUCGAUAUUCAAUUCAAUUCCACACCUAUAUUCAUUAUUCAAUUACACUUAGUAAAUUUCCCGAUGAACACUUUGGAAUAAUAACAGAUACUCCGUGGAUUCAGCACAUAGCAACCACCUUAUUAAUGAAUGAUGUCCCGUGGAAUCAGCACAUAGCAACCACCUUACUAAUCAAUGAUGUUCAGUUCACAUAGUAGCCUGCACAUAGUACUACACAUGUGACCAUUACCAUCCGAUACACGUAGUAGCCUACACAUAGUACUACACACGUGAUCGAAACUAUCUGGUACGCAUAGUAGUCUGCACAUAGUACUACACAUGCGACCUAUCAUUUCGGUACACGUAGUAGCCUGCACAUAGUACUACGCACAUGACCAUCACUUUCACUUUUACAUACUGGCCUAUACACAAUCCGUGCCACACAUGUGAUCAUUUCUGUCACUUCAUUCGUAUCCCUUUUUAUUCCAAAGGUUCAUUCGGGAAUUUUUCACUUUUUCUCACUUUUUUUUAUCGAUCAAUUUCAAUUUCUCGUUUUUCUUGAUUUAUAACAAUACAUUUAAAUUAUAUAAUAUUCACACUAUUCAUUCUAGUCAAAAAAAUCAUACUUUGGAAAAAUUACAUUUUUGCCCCUAAAGUUUCAUAAAAUUACAAUUUUGUCCCUAGGCUCGUAAAAUAUUUUUAUUCAAUUUCCUUGAAUUUUAGGCCUAGCUGAACCAUUUUCAUAACUAUAGCAGUCCACAAUACUCACUUAUUCACACACUUGUGACAUAUUUUACAACUUUUCCAAAUUAAUCCUUUUAGGCAUUUUCAUCGAAAAUUACUUAGUACAAAUCGUUCAUCACACUCCAAACAUUCAUAUUCUUCCAUAAAACAUCAAAAUACAUGCAUAUCAUUCAUGGGUAAAUUUUUAAACACAAACCCUAGUUCAAAACAAUGGUAAAAAUAGGUAAAUCUUGUUACGAGGAUUUCAAAAACGUAAAAAUCAUUAAAAAUAGGGAUAGAACGGACUUACAAUCGAGCUUGGAAGCUUGAAAACCCUAGCCAUGGUUUCUCCAUGCAAUUUUCGGCCUAGGGGUUGAAGAUGGAGAAAAAUUGGCUUUUAAUUUUGUUUUUAAUUCAUUUUAAUAACUAAAUGACCAAAAUGCCCUAAUGAAAAACUUUGGAAACAUGCCUAACCAUACCCAUUUUUGUCCACCAACUUAACCAAUGGUCUAAUUACCAUAUAAAGACCUCCAAUUUAAAAUUUCAUAACAAUUGGGCACCUCUAACAUAUAGAACUCAACUUUUUCACUUUUUACAAUUUAGUCCUUUUGACUAAAUUGAGUGCCCAAACGUCAAAAUUUUCGAACGAAAUUUUCACAAAAUCGUUUUGUGAAAUCGUAGACCAUAAAAAUAUAAUGAAAAUAAUUUUUUUUCUCGUCGAAUUUGUGGUCCCAAAACCACUAUUCUGACUAGCCCCAAAUUUGGGCUGUUACACUAAGUCACUUAAUUUGUAAAAUUAUAUUAACAAUUUGGUAAAUAAAAACACAAUAUGGUUGAGAAGUGGUGAUUAAAAUAUAUUAAACUAAAUGCAAUGAUCCCUAAUGCAAAUUAUCCUAAGUAUGCAAACUAUAUGAAUGAAAUAGAUUUUAGUAAAAUUAAACACAAUUUGUAACAAUUAUAACAUAAAUAAACUAGGACAAUUACUUUAAUUAAACUCAAUUUAUUAUCAACAUGCUUAAUAAUAUUCAAAAAAGCAUUCCAUGGCAACUCGAUCUUUCAUGAGUUUGGAAAUCACAUUAGGUACUUUCGGAAUCCUUUACUUAGUAAAUACGCAUUUUACUGAUCCUUAUUUACUAAGGGAUUCUUAGCAUUCGUGUGAGGUAACAGGGACGUGUCAGGUUUGAAACAAUUUAAUCACACAAAUCUAAAAACUAUGAAGAUAACAGAGCUUAGUAAAAGUUGUUAUGCAACCUACAAUUUAAUUGGGUCAGGAUCUAAAUUGAGCAUGCACAUUUCAAUUAUGUGUCCAUUAGCCGUCGUCUGGUCAAGAUCAUUUAGCUAAUUCAUGUGCAUUUCAAUCACGUAUGAAUGAAAUACAGACUUGAUUUUAAUUGAAAACAUGAUCGAUUGAGGCACAAACAUUAUAAACAUGAAUCAAAUAAAUAUUAUUUAAUCAAAGCAAUCAUCCUAGCUUAAAUAAAAUUAAGCUAACAUUGUUGUAAACAAGAAUAAAGAACACAUAGCAAACAUCUUUAUAUUAAAUUAAAGAAAAGAAAGAUUAAACUCAAUUCAGAGUGGCUGUCACCCAAGACUCUGACUGACGAGGCUCCUUCUGUAACACCCCUUACCCAAGACUGUUUCCGGAGUAGAGCUCGAUGCAUUACUUUACUUGCCUUACUAGUUUGGGACAUAAAAAGUUACUUUUGAAAUCAAUUUCCACAUUUACAGCAAAACUGUCCACUUGCGCAGUAGUUACUAAAUCAUUUAUAACUUGAGCUACAAAACUCAAAAUAUAAAUAUGUAAAUUUUCCCUGAAACUAGACUCAUAUAUAUUUUUACCAUAAAAUUUUUAGAAUUUUAAUUCAGCCAAUUAGUACAGUUUAUUAGUUAAAGUCUCCCUUGUUUCACCAAUCGACUGCCUUGACCUCUUGAUACUAAAAAUAAAAUUUCUCAUUGUGGGAUUUUCAUAUGGUGUUACCACUUAUUUCUACAGAAAAUAGACUCAAUAAGGAUUCUAGAAAUAUAAACUACAACUGAUAACUAUUUUUGUACAAUAUUUAGUGAUUUUUUAAACUCAAAAUAGGGGACUCCAAAAAUAGUUCUGACCCUGUUUCACUAAAAUUCACAUAUCUUAAAAUAUAAAUUUCUUUUUUCAACACCAUUAUUUUUAUAUGAAAAUAGACUCAACCAGCUUUAAUUUCAUAUAUCAUUAACCCUCUAAUUCAUUUUAUACCAUCCUAGUGAUUUUUCAAAUUCACGUCAUUGUGCUGGCUGAAUUCUAUUUCUUUUGCAAGAUUUUACCCUUUCAUGUUUUCCAUGCAUAAUUUAUCACCUAGACUUUUAUAAUAAAAAACUCCUUCAUACUUAACCGUUUUAAUAACCGUUCAUCAACAAAUACUUACACAUCAUUCUUUAGCAAAAUCGUAAUUACAAACAAGCACAAUAACUAAAUACCUAUACAUGCCAUGACUCAAACGUGUUUCAUCAUAAAAUACCGAGUAGUCGUUCUUGAUAGUGUAGACGAUCUCCGACUUCUUUAGGAUCCCUGAAGCAGCUUUGCAAUACUAUAAGAAAAAUGAAAAUAAAAGAAUUAAGCAUUAAACUUAGUAAGUUUACUAGCAAAUAAAUAACAACAUUUAACAUAAAUGAUUAUACUCGAACGUCAAGGUCUCUAAUUUACUUUUUAAUUAAUCUCAUUCUCAUUCUCUUGCUUGUUUACUUAGUUAACUCGUGACUAUAACUUACUCUUCCCUUGCGGAAACGUUGAGUAUCAAUUGAUAAUAUCAUAAGUUCUUAACUCUUAUAACUUACCUGAGCUUGCCAUUUAUGCUUUUAACUGAAUUUUCAAGAACAUGAUUUGUUUACUAGCCCGUUGAGCUACAUUGGAAUAAUAAGGAUACUCGGGUCUCUUCUGAUAAUAACAUGCCAAAUCCAUGUCACAGACAUGGUCUUACAUGGGAUGUUCUCAUAUCGGUGCCAAUGCCAUGUCUCAGACAUGGUUUUACGGGGGACCUCUCAUCUCGGUGCCAACGCCAUGUCCUAGACAUGGUCUUACAUGGGACCUCUCAUCUCGGUGCCAACGCCAUGUCCCAGACAUGGUCUUACAUGGGACCUCUUUACCCAAAUGUCAUGACAUUUGUAUCUAAUACAUUCCUCAUGUUUCAACGAGGCUUUUUAACAUCAAUUCUCUGUCAUCUCAUACUUGAGUCAACAUUAACUAAAUUCAUAAAAUAAAUGUAUAAUUCUGGAAAAUAAAAAUAUUAAUAAUAAUUAUUGAAAUAUUGUAUUUAUUUACCGUAAACUUACCUUGGUACCAAUUAUAGCCAAAUUCACCAACUUAGCCUUCAACUUUAUUCUUUCCCUUGUCUAACCUCAAGUUUCGUUCUUCUUGAUCUAAAAUAGAAAAUUUAACUCAUUUAAUACUCACAUUUAUCAAAACAUCCCUCGACUCUGACUUUGGAAAAUUUACUAUUUUGCCCCUAAACGUUUACAUAAUUACAUUUUCCCCGAGGCUCAAAAAUUAAACUUCAUCCCAUAUUCUUAUGUUUUAUGACAUGCUAAACAUUUUUCCCUUCUAUGGAAACAUCAAAUUCCCACUCAAACACUUACUUAUAAACAUUAGGCAUUUUUACUGAUUAUGUCGUUUUACUCGUUUUCACUUAAAAUCGCUUAGCAAAAGUUGUUUAACAUAAUUCCUAGCUUCAUAUUCUACCAUAAAACAUCAAACUAAACACUUUUCACCUAUUGGUAUUUUUCAAAAUAUAAACCCUAGGUUAAAUUAUUGCUAAAAUAAGCUAAAUUAAGCUACUAGGAUCUCAAAAACGUAAAGAACAUUAAAAACAGGGAUUGGUAUCACUUACUAUGGAGCUUGGAAGCUUGAAAACCCUAACUAUGGCUUCUCCCCUUUCUAAAUUCGGCCUAAUGAAGAAGAUGAUCAAAAAUUGGCUUUUAAUUUUGUUUUUAAUUCAUUUUAAUAACUAAAUGAUUAAAAUGCCAUUAAUGAAAAACUUUGGAAACAUGCCUAACCAUAUCCAUUUUUGUCCACCAACUUAACCAAUGGUCUAAUUACCAUAUAAAGACCUCUAAUUUAAAAUUUCAUAACAAUUAGACACCUCUAACAUAUAGAACUCAACUUUUGCACUUUUUACAAUUUAGUCCUUUUGACUAAAUUGAGUGCCCAAACGUCGAAAUUUUCGAACGAAAUUUUCAUAAAUUCUUUUCGUGAAAUUGUAGAAGAUAAAAAUAUAAUAAAAAUAAAUUUUUCCUCAUCGGAUUUGUGGUCCCGAAACCACUGUUCCGAUAACCUUAAAUUUGGGUCAUUACACCUUCGUUCAUUUACUUUGCUCCUUUGCUGAUGACUCUCCAAGGUGGCCGACCAAGGGUUCAUUAAGGGGUUUAAUUGCUAAAAUCUCUAUGAAGAGAUGACGCUAGGCGUGGGAAUGGAAAAGGCUAAGAGAAUUUGGAGAAAAGAGAGAAUGAUGAAUGAUGAGAAUGAAUGAGGAAUGAUUGAGGGAUGCUUAAGGGAUGAUUAAUGAAGGAAUGAGAGGGUCUUAUUUAUAGGUGAGGAGAGGGGGAUAGUUUGCUAAAUAUAGUGGAUGUUAACCUCUUCAAAUCUCCUCAAAUUGUGGCCGACCAUGCUUAGUGGCUUUUGACUAGAUUUUUUGCUUGAUUUUUAAGCAAUUGGAUGUCACACAACUCGAGACUGAGACUCGGUCAAUCGUAAAUCUUCGAGAACUCUAAUUUCUUCAACACUGCAAGGACCUUGUGUAAUUAAACCAAAGAAUGGUUUAAAUGGACAACCAUGUGUAGCCGAAUAUUGGGUUGACUUGGUCUCCAAUUUGGACAGUUUUGUAAUCCAUCAAAGCUAUCAGACCUAUCCAGAAUAAAUCAACAAGUUAGAGGACCAAAGAAUAAAAUUUAUCCAAUUUAAUUAAUUAAUUAAAACCCAAAUUAUUAAUGAAAUAUUUUAAAAUGAAUUAUUAAAUAUAAUUUUAUAUUGUAUUAUUUAAUUUAAUCAUGCAUGGCCCACUUUAUGUCUUAAAAAAUAUAAUAUAUUCAAAUUAAUAUAAAAUAAGCCAUUUAUUGCAUGAAAACUAUAUAUAAACAUAAAAUCACAUUUUAAUAAUUUCUAUGUCCUAAUUUCAUAUUUUCACAUAUUUUAUUAAUUUAUAAAACAAUUACUUAGUUUUAACAACGGAUUUAAGUAAAAAGGUGAUAAAUUACAUAGGAAAAAUCCUAUAUAUUCUUCUGUUUACAUGGCCAGUCCGUGUGACUCACACGGUUGAGACACACACUCGUGUCUCAGGCCGAGUCGACAUUCGAACUAAGGACACACGGCCGUGUUCCAGCCCAUGUAAUUCUCGAAAUACAACCUUUAAAAUAUCUACAGGGGACACACGCUCGUGUCUUAGGUCGUGUGGACAAGAAAUAGGUCAAAUUCAAGCCAUUUCUUUCACCCAAUUCAAGCACACCUAAACAAGCCAUUUGCACAUAUGACGAAAGCAUUAAAACAUGUUCAACCAUGCAUAAAAUGACCACUUUCAAAUGACCAAAUUCCAUUCAACCAAUAUGCUAUAAAGGCACCUCAAACAUAUACAUUAAACAUACCUAAAUAUGUGCAUAUUUAACCAUUUAUCCAUUUACUUGUAUCCAUAUCAAAACAUAUCAAAAUGACCUUAUCAUUUGAUCCACUUCUUACAUGCAUCAACCAUUUAAAUAUUUCCCAUCUAGCCAUUUUCAAAUUGUUCCAACAACCAACAUAUAUGCAUACCAAAUUAAUGUCCAAAUGGUCAUAAUUCAACUAAACAUAUUUUAUUUAAAUUCUAUAUCAAAACUUGCCAUAAAUGAUCAUUUUGCAACUAUGCCAACAUUUAUCACUUUAGCCACAAACCAUGCAUCAAAUUGUUCUUAUAAACACCAACCAUCAAGGUAUCAAAAUAACAUAAGUUUCACCAAUUCCAAAGCAACAUUUCAUGCCAAUAUCACACACAAGCAUACCAAUUUGUCCAUUCAAACAUAUCAUCACUAAACCAUUUCAACAUUAGCCAUCAAGCCCCAAAAAUGCCAAAAUAUCAUCAAUCAUAUAACUAUAUUUACAAGCCAAACAUAGUGGCCAUAUCAUCAAGCAUAAAACACUUAUACAUGCCAUUAUAACCGCGACCAAAACAUAAAAAUCUACUGAUAAAAUCGAUGGAUACUAUGAUGGAUCUCCGACUAGCUUCCAACCCGGUCGAGCUUCCGAUAAUUUGUAAGGUAAAAGAAAAAAUACAUAAGCAAUGAAUGCUUAGUAAGCUCGUAUAAAAAUUAAGAAUAAUAUUCCAUUUCAAUAUUAAACUUUAUAGAAUAAACAUAAAUCUAUGCCAAUGUUAUACGAUUCAUAAAUCGAUAUGAUCAUCAACUCACAAAUGAGUAAGUUUAUUCAUGUCGCAUAUUUAUUUUCCAUUCAUAACAUGAUAGGAUUUCAUGAGACAUAAUAUAUACCAUCAAUCCCUUUUAUAAGAUUAUAUAUCUUUCUAUUUACUUACUUUUCCAAUAUGUCCCAAUGCUUAUCACAAGCCUAAACAAUAUUAUUAACUCUCGAUUCAGUGUAUUUAUCUAUAGCAUAAGCAAUUUGCUCACAUAUAAUACAUCAUAAUUCAUCCCAACUACGUACUUACCAUUUCAUUUCCUUUUCUUACCCAUUUCGUAUGCAUAGUACAAGCAUCCACAAGCUUGGCUUAAGCCCUAGCACAUCAACAACACAUGUUAGUUCAUUUAAACAGGAUUCAUAUGAAUUUGACAUGGAUAACCAUUAUACUUGAGUAUGAUUCAAUUGGACUUAUUAUCCAUCACAACAUAUCAUGUUUUUCCAUGUAUCACCAUUCCAUUGAGUUUCUUAUAAACAUGUCUUAAUUCUUAUUGAACACUUACCAUUUCAUUUGCAUACACAUAAGACAUAAACAUAACAUUAAUCAUAGCCACAAGCUAGUGAUUAAACACAUAACUUAGCAAUAUCAUCACAUGGUAAGAUAUGGGUACAUAACAUAACAUCACUUAUAUCCUUUUAUAAACAUGAAUAUCCAUACUUUUCUCAUUGAUACAUCAUACCUUUCCAUAUUUGUAGUAGUGAAGUCAAUCGAAACCCUUACUGAAGCUCAUAAAAAGUGUGUUAAACGAUGGUCGUAACCAUCCAUUUUCAUAUUCGAUGGUCGAAACCAUCCCUUUUCAUUAAUCAAUGGUCGUCACCAUCCCUUUUUAUAGUUGAUGGUCAUCACUAUCCCUUUUCAUAGUUGAUGGUCUCACCAUCCCUUUUCAUAGUUGAUGGUCGUCACCAUCCCUUUUUAUAGUUGAUGGUCAUCACUAUCCCUUUUCAUAGUUGAUGGUCUCACCAUCCCUUUUCAUAAUCGAUAGCCGAAGCUAUCCUUUUUCAUAGUUUGACAGCCAAAGCUAUCCCUUUCCAUUGGUCAAUGACAGUCGAUACACCGUGGGAUUUUUCCAUCAAGAUACAAUUUGAUACUAUAAAAUAAUAGCAUUUAAAACAUAAUUUAAAAUGCUUAAUCUCAUGGUUUAGUCCAAACCUAAACCUCUUACAACAACUCGCCUCGUGAGCCACCAACUCAGGUGCAUACUGGCUCAAAUGUACAAACUCAGCUUUGUACUCGUCCAUAGGCAAAGUACCCUAAAAUAAAUCCGUGAACUCGCGUCUCUUUGCCUUCAGAUACUACUCUCCUCCCAUAAACUUCCUCCGAAAAGACUUCAUAAAAAAGUCCCAAGUCACUCUUUAUGGUGUAGUACCAUGCUCGACAGUUAUCCACCAAUGAUGAGUCUCAUCUAUAAGUAACAACAUGGCACAUCUGAGCUUAUCCUUGUCAGAAUAGCCCAUCUGACCAAGGAUAUGAACAAUUUCUUCUAACUAAUACUUAGCACAAGUAGGGUCUCCACCCCUAACUCCUCGGAAUUCCUUACCACCUAGAGCUCGCAAACGCUCUAAUGGUAAACCCUGACGAAUAAGAGCAGCAUUGGCACCAGAGAUACAUUGCAAUGCCCUAAUCAUCUCUAACAUAAAAUGCUCAACUCAACCUAUUUGAGCAUCAUCACCCGGCUGCGGUGGUGCAUCAUCAUCUAGACUACCAUGCUCGUGUUUCAAUGGAAUAAUGUAAAUCGUAUACUAAAGAAAAAGUAGAGAAAACGUACUAGGAGUGAGUAGCGGCAAGUUAUCCAAGACUUAACUAAGUAUAAUUUCCUAUAGGGCAUUGUGUUCCCAAAUCCUGCCCCAUAGAAUAGUUUAUAUCACAAAGAACAUACAUAGGCAAAACAUACAAUUUCAAGUGAUAUUUACAGAUAAGCUAGACUUCAAUAUUACAUAAUCAAAGAACUCUAAUUUUUAACACAUCUAGGCUAACCUAAAGUUAAGCUUGUAGCUCUGAUACCACCAAAUGUGACACCUCAAACUCGACCGGGAUAGACCGACCCAAAUUUGAAACAUUACAUUAGCCACCAAAGCGACUCUCAAGCUAACGACCACUCGACGUACAUCCCAACCUUAUAACAUCUCAUUUAUCACUAAUUAACUAUCAUUUAUUAACGUGAAAGCAAUUUGUGAACCAUUUUUAAACUUUUUAAAUGUAUUUAAACCUAAGGGUAUUUUUUUUAUUUUACCACCUAAGGUUAAACUAUCCCAAUUUUAUUUUUAAAUAGUUACCAGCCUUCUUUUAGUCAAAUUAUGCAAGCCCUAAAAAUUUUAGCUUAAUUCGAGUUCAUUUACUAUGUCUAAUUCAAGUUUUGUUAUUAGGGACUAAAUUGUAACAUUACAAACUUUUAGUACAUUUUCCAAAUUACAAAUUAAGAGUGUUUCCACCAAAUAUUAACAGUUACAAGUCUAAUCCUAAAAUAUUACCCAAGUUUUCCUAUCAUUAAAGGCUUCAAUUAAUCUAAUCAAGUUUUAGGACUAAAUUAUAAAUUAAGCAAAUUAGAAUACUAGAUUACAAAAACCAAAAAUCAAACCCCAAAAACCCACACGCCCAUGUGAAAAGACACACGCUUUUGUGAAAACCAGUACACCUAUUUUGUCAAAACAAUUCGUUUUAAAUUUUCGAUUUUACAUAUUUUACUUACCUAUUAAACUUGAAAUAGCUACAAUUAAUUACCAUAAAUAUGCACACAUCUCCAAUUUAAUUUAUUUACAACAAAUAUGCAACAAUAAAUCAAAAAUUAACACCCAGUUACAUGCUUAGCAAACACCAGUCAAUUCACACAAGCUACAUACCUCAGUCGCAAGCAAUCCACUCCAUGGUAAGCUUCAAUUAAACAUUGUUAGUAUAAAAUACAUGCUUCAUACAUCGUGCUAUCAACCACCGUACGAACACUCAUCAACAUACUAUAAAUCAAACAUCAAUUAGACAUAAAAUCAUGUAUUAAAGUAAUUCUAAAAUCACCAAAAUUAAAGUCCAAAAUUUAAUGUCCAAUGUCCAUUACAAGUAAAAUAACACUAGUCCUAAAAGCAUCACAAGCCCGUUUGACUCACACGGCUGAGACACAAGCCCGUGUCUUAAGCUGUGUAACAAUCAAAAUAGGGACACACAGCUAUGUCCUAGCCUGUGUCUUUUCCCGUGUAACUCUUAAAAUGGUCUCACACGCUCGUGUGCUAAGCUGUGUGCUAGGUCGUGUAACAGCUUGACUUGAAAACCUUAAAACCUACAAGGGACACAUGGCCAUGUCGUAUGGCCGUUUGUCACACACGGCUGAGUCAGACGCCCGUGUCUCAGGCUGUGUGGAAAUGAAAUUUGCCAAAUUCAAGCCAUUUCCAUCAGCAUUACAAGCAUGUACCUAAAAGCAAUUUGUCCUCAAACUCAAAGCACCAAAACCUUACCAAAACAUGCAUAAAAUGACCAAUUCAAUAUACCAUUAUCAUACAACCAAUAUGCCAUACAAGGCACCUCAAUUACAAUCAAUCAGACAUACCUAAACAUGUACCCUUGCCAUAUCUCAUACUCAUAUAAUUCAAUACCACUUCCAAACAUACCAUAAUUAUGAUCAUUAGUACUUCCCUAUAAACAUACCGUCACCCAAGCAUGCAUCAUAUCUUAGCCAUAUUAACACAUACCAACAAGGCACCAAAACUACCAAAAGUACAUCAACCAAAAUAAGAUAUACAUGCCAAACUUAUCAACUAAUCAUCAAACACAAGUCCACCUAUACAUGUCAUUAUAACCUUGGCCAAAACAUAAAAAAGUAUCAAUAUAAUCAUUUGAUAGUGUGAUAGAUCUCUGACGAACUUCCAACCGAUCAAGCUUUCGAUAAUCUGUAAAGUAAAGGAAAGUAAUUACGUAAGUAGUGAAUGCUUAGUAAGCUCGUAUAAACUCUAAACAUAAUAUUCCACUUCAAUAAUGAACUUUUUAGGAUAAACAUAAACCUAUACCAAUGUCAUAAGAUUUAUAAAGCUAUAUAACCAUCAACUCACAAAUGAGUAAGUCCAUCAACAUCACAUAUAUUUUUCAUUCAUAACAUAAUAGGAUUUUAUAAGACAUAUUACACAAUCAUUAACCUUUUCAUAAGCUUAUGAACCAUUUCAUUUGCUUACUUUCCAUUCUAUUUACUUACUUUCUAUUACGUACCAAAUGCUUAGCAUAAGCCUAUACAACAUUAUCAAUUCACGAGUUAGUGUAUUUAUCCAUGGUAUAAGUAAAUGCAUCCAUAAAAUAAGUAGAUUUCUCACAUAUAGGUACAUCAUUUAGCUCAUUAAUCCUUUUAUAUCAUCAGAUUAUAUCCCAUUUAUGAACUUACUAUUUCUUUCCCCUUUCUUACUCGUUCCAUUUGCAUGGUAUAGAGCAUAAGCAUAAAAAUCAACCAUAACCACAAGCUUGGCAAAGGCCUAAACAUCAUCAUCAAUACACAAGUUAGUGCAUACGUACAUAAUUCACUUGAAUUAAGCAUAUGAUGAUCCAUUUCCAAGUGAACAUAUUUCAUUUGAAUCAUUUAUUCUUUCCAUGAACAUAUGCAUAUUGCCAAAUGAAAGCUUACCUUUUCAAUCCUUUUCAUAGAUUUACGACAUAGUUCAUUUGAACACUUACUGUUCCUUUCCUUUUCAUGCCCGUUAAACCAUUUAAAAUAUCAUCGGAUACUCAAGAAAGCUCACACGAAGUGUGUUAAACAUAUAAUCGUAACCAUUCCUUUUCCUUUACAUUGUUGCUCACACGAGCUUUGAAAUGGGCCUGCUCACACAAGCUGUGGGUCGAAAUGUAAGCUACACGAUGCUGCUCACACAAGCUGUAGAGUAUCCGUAACAAAUGCAAGACCUCAUCCAUCGGUAGGACAUUCAAGACCAGGGCCCAAAAUAUGGAAACCCUAAUGACAUGUUAUUUGUAUCUUAUGAAUUCCUAAAGUUUAAACGGGGCUCGAUAACCGUCAAUUCAUCAUAAUAUGGAUAGAUUCACAUAUAUAUUGAUUCAUUUACAUUAAAACAACAUAAUAAACAUUUAAUUUAAUUAACAAUAACAUAGUAAGCGUUUAUACGAACUUACGUGGCUAAACUACGAUAAUGACUAAGUAUAGGGGCUAUUUGGUAAUUUUCUCUUCUUCUCGAUUUUCCACUUGUUCUUGAUCUUAAUUAAUAAUUUCAUUCAAUUCAUUAAUUUAGAUAGUAAAAACAACUCAUUUUAUGCAAUUAAGUCCUUUUUGACAUUUUACAAAAUUGCCCCCAAUAUUUUACUUUUUUUCAAUUUAGUCUCUAAGCUUAAAAUAUGAAAAUUAACCAUUUUUAUUAAAUUUCAAGCUUAGCCGUAUGGUUUGGAACUCCUUUACAACCAUAUUUGCUAUUAUUUCACAGUAAGUCCUUGUACUUUUACUAAUUUCACAUUUUAGUCAUUAACAUUAAAAAUUACCAAAAAUUACUUUAUAAAAUAUGCCUAUUUAACAAAAAAGCUUAACAAUAUAUCAUAAACUUUCACAAACACCUCAAAAUUCAUCCAUGGCACAUUUUAAAACAUUUGAUAAUUUCAAAAACAGAGGUACGGCUUAGCUAAAUUACGCUACACUGAUCUCAAAAACAUAAAAAUUAUGAAAAAUAGAAUUCAAAUGGACUUACAUGCACAAGUUGAAGUUUGGUCAAACCUUUAAGCUCAAAAGUGGGGUUUUCUUGUCUUGGUUUCAGUUUGAAAGAAAAUUGAAGAAGAUGGCUUUUUAUUUAUUUAUUUAUUUAACCUUUUUACUUUAUUUCAAUAAUAAAAAAAUAACAUAUAAACUUAAAAGAAUUUAAAGCUUAAACCGUCCACCAUCUUCAGAAUGGGUAAUUUAUCCUUUAAGGCCAUCAAAUUAUGUUUCUUUAAUCAAUUAACACAUUUAACCUAAUAGUGAUUUACUUUUUCAACUAUUACAAUUUAGUCCUUUUCAUUUGAUUAACCAUUUAUACAUUAAAAUUUCGUAACAAAACUUUAAUACAACCUUAAUGUAAUAGCUUGUUUUUUAGUGGUGUCGAAAAUAAUGGUUUGAGGCCACUAAAUCUGACGAGUAAGUUCAUAAAUAUUAUUAUUUAAUAUCUACGAGCCGAAUAUAGUUUUAAAAAGGUUUUUGUUAUGGUAAUUUAUAUGAUAUAAAUGAUUAAUUAAGUUUAAGUGGUAAGACCUUAAGGUGAAGUGGUUUUAGAAAAUAAGGUAUCGGGACCUCAUUUCUAUAAAUCAAGCUCAAAUAUUUUUAUAAAUAUUUACGGAGUGUCACUAAUGUGGUAUUAAAGUUUCGUUAAGAAAUUUUAAUGUUUCAAUAGUUAAUUAAUUAAAAAAGACUAAAUUGUAAAAGAUGCAAAAUUUGAUCACUAUUUGAUUUGAGUGAUUAAAUGGUUAAUUGAAUAAAGGAAAAGGGACUUAAAUGGUAAUUAGACCAUUAUGAAAAUUGGUGGACAUUAGUGAGCUUAUAAAUUGUUAAAGUUUGAUUAUUAUUAUAAGGGUAAACUAGUAACUUAUUAAAUAUGUAUAUUAUAAUAAAAACAUGAUAAAAAUUCAUUAUCAUAUUUAAUUUGAAAGCCACCACCGAAACCCUAAAGAAGAAGAAACCAUUCAGCCAACUUUGGUUUGAUGAUUUGGUAAGCAAACUUUGCCCCUUUUUAAUAAUUUUUAUGUUUUCAAGAUCGUUGCAACUAGGUCCAGCUAUCCCAUACCUUUGAUUUUGACUGUUUCCAUUGAUGAACCUUGUGAUUUUAGAUGUUCAAUGAUGAAUUUGAGAUACUAGUUGUUAUUUAAAAGUAUUUUAUUAAGUGAAUUUUGAUGAAUUUUUUUAUUAAGGGAUAAAUUGUUGAAAUAGUAAAAGUACAAGGAUUUGAUGUGAAAUUAUUGCAAUAAUGGGUUUUAUUGGAUGCCAUAAGUAUUCGGCUAGGCUCAAUUUUGGGUAAAAAUGGUUAAUUUGCAUGUUUUAGGUUUAGGGACUAAAUUGAAUAAAAGUAAAACUUUAGAGGCAAUUUUGUAAAAUGUCAAAAAUGACUAAAUUGCAUAAAAUACGUUUUUUACUAUCUAAAUUAAUAUAUUGAAUGAAAUUUUUAAUUUAAAUCAAGAUGGGGUGGAAAAUAAAAAAGAAUGGAAAAUUACCAAAAAUCCCUUGUACUUUGACAUUUCUGUAAUUUAACCAGGUAAGUUCGUAGGUAUAGAAUUGUACAUACCUAUAAAUAUAAAUAAUGUUAAUGUUGAUUCAUGAAUGUAUAUACUUAUAUAUAUAUAUGAUGUUUAAAAUGUGAGCUGAAACUCGAAAUAUUAUAACUGAACAUAAGGUGAGAAAGGAUUUAUUAGAAAACUAUUGAAUAUUUAUAAGAUAUGAUAUAUACGCGAUUUCAGCAUGAUUAUGAAUUGUUAUAGCAUGUGUAUCGAGAACUAUGAAAGUGAUUAAUAGAUGAUGUUAAUCAUUGUAAUGGUACAUUGACAGCAUGAAUAUAUGUAUUGAUGUUAUAUCAUGAAAUGGAUUACAUGAAAUGCCUGGUGGAAAGUAGUAAUCACUAGGAUAUAUUGGCAUGCCAAUAGGGUUAGAAUGGUGUUUGUACAUGAUUUGCACUUUGAUACCCCUGUUUGGUGUCUCUAUUCGCACUACGGUGCCCCUGUUAUGCAUAUAUGAUGCCUUUGGUGUGGUGUAGUUACCCGAGUAUCCGAGUCAAGUUACUAGUUCGUCGGGCUAACUGUGAAUGGAAUUUAUAAAAUUAUUUUAAUGUUAAAGGCUAAUGUAUAGUCAAGAUAUUAGUAAAUGUUAAAUGUUAAAUGUUCAAUGAAUUACUUGAUCAUAUGUAAGUAUCAUUAAAUUGAUGAUUAUUUGGUUAAAGAUAUAUAUUUAUAUACAUAUAUAAAUGAGUUUGUGUUGAAUUAUUAUAGUACAGGAAGCAUACAUUGAAUCAUUUUCAAUACUAAGCCUAUAAGUGCUUCGUAAACAUAUAACAGGUAUGAUUAAUUUAUUCAUUUAGCUUUAAUCUUGUUUAGUGAAGGUAAGUGAUUCCAAAAUGACAUGUUUAUACGAAAUUUUGAGACAAAUGAUGAAUUAUAGAAUGAUUAUUAGUUAAAUUUGAAAGAGUUAUGUUAAAAUGCACUAGCUUGUGGUUAUGGUUGAUGUUUAUGCUUAUGUCUCAUAAGUUUUACAAAUGAAACGGGUGAGAAUAGUUAUUGAAAUGAUAAGUUCAUAGAUGUGAUGAAAUAUGAUGAAUAAAAAGAAUUUUUGAGUUAAAAGACUUUCUUGUAAGGAAGGAAUUUACUUAUGUUGUGAAUAGAUACUAUGAUUCGCGAAUUGAUAACGUAAUUUAGCUUAUGCUAAGUAAAUGGAAUGGUAAGUAAGUAAAUGAAAUGAUUCGCCGUUUUAAGAAAAGGUUGAUGAUUAUGUAAUUCAGCUUAUAAGACCUUAUUAUGUUACAAGUGGAAAGUAUUUAGGAUGUUAAUGAACAUAUUUAUUUAUGAGAUGAUAGUUAUAAAGUUUGAUAAAUCUUGAAGUAUUGGUAUAGGUUUAUUUAUGACUUAUAAAGUUCAUAUUUAAAAUGAAAUAUUAUGUUUAAGUUUAUACGAGCUUACUAAGCAUUCAUUGCUUAUGUGGUUGUCUUUCUCUUACUUUACAGAUUAUCUAAAGCUCAAUUGAGUUGGAAGCUAGUCGGAGAUCCAUCACACUAUCCAUCGGCUAUAUCGGUGGAUUUUCAUGAUUUUGAGUCAUGGUUAUAAUGGCAUGUAUAGGUGUCUUUGUUUGAUAAAAUUAGUCAUUAUGUUUGACUUGUAAAUAUGUUAUUUUGAGUGAUGAAAUAGUUGUUAUGUUGACAAGUAUGGUACUUUAAUGGUUGCUAGUUUGGUAUCUAAGUACUUAAAUGGUAGUAGUUGAAAUGAUGAAUAUAAAGGUAUGCUAUGAAAUGUUAGUUAGGUAUGGAAUGAGAUAGUGCAUUGAGUUGUUAAAUAGCUAGUUUUGGUAGCUUUGGUUGUGGUUGGCAUAUGGCUAAGUUGCUAAGGUAUUGACUGAGUUGUGUGAAUGGUCAAAUUGGUGGUUGUGAGUACGAAAAUGAUACGUGAACAUUAUAGUAAAUGUAGUAUAUAAGUUGUUCAAUUGGUUGAUUGAUUU